GCUUACGGCCAUACCACCCUGAGCGCGCCCGAUCUCGUCUGAUCUCGGAAGCUAAGACAGGGUCGGGCCUGGUUAGUACUUGGAUGGGAGACCGCCUGGGAAUACCAGGUGCUGUAAGCU
rnacentral:rRNA from 1 species